UACAGAGGGGGCAAGCGUUAUUCGGAAUUAUUGGGCGUAAAGCGCGCGCAGGCGGUUCUUUAAGUCUGAUGUGAAAGCCCACGGCUCAACCGUGGAGGGUCAUUGGAAACUGGAGAACUUGAGUACAGAAGAGGAAAGCGGAAUUCCACGUGUAGCGGUGAAAUGCGUAGAGAUGUGGAGGAACACCAGUGGCGAAGGCGGCUUUCUGGUCUGUAACUGACGCUGAGGCGCGAAAGCGUGGGGAGCAAACAGG
rnacentral:rRNA from 1 species